rnacentral:rRNA from 1 species
UACGAAGGGGGCUAGCGUUGCUCGGAAUCACUGGGCGUAAAGGGUGCGUAGGCGGAUCGUUAAGUCGGGGGUGAAAGUUUUCGGCCCAACCGGAAAUUGCCUUUGAUACUGGCGAACUCGAGUGCGUGAGGGGUAACCGGAACGAGCAGUGGUAGCGGUGAAAUGCGUAGAUAUUGCUCGGAAGGCCAACGGCGAAGGCAGGUUACUGGUACGCAACUGACGCUGAGGCACGAAAGCGUGGGGAGCAAACAGG